AUUUAUGGCCAUACCACCCAAACACUCCCAAUCUCAUCUGAUCUCUCUCGGAAGCUAAGCAGGGAUGGGCCUGGUUAAUACUGGGAUGGGAGAAAAUUAUUGUCAACUUGUUACCAUAACAC
rnacentral:rRNA from 1 species